UGCACCGGUGAUGACCACUCAUAGACCUGUAAUGAUGGCGAAGAUGAUCGCAGUAAAUGAACAUCUAAGGGACUGAGGUGCA